ACCCCUAGGAUUUUGCAAAAGUGAAAGUCACUAUUAGAACAUUCGUUUAUUUUAAAAUCCUGCCUAUUCUUAAGCCCUCGAUAAGCAGCAGUGCACCAAUUAUAGGCUGGUUGAUCAGAAAGACACCGAAACUAAAGCAAACAAUGGCACAUCAAAGGGAAUGGAGGCAAACAUCCAACCACCCAUACCACCCACCACCACACCCGACCGGCCCCAUCCACUGAAUAUUUAUAAUAAUUUGCACCACUUCAGAGGCUUUCAGCGUUUUGUACCCCACCUCCCGGUUGGAAAAUGUGGCAAUGGGACAUAAAAACUGCUUUUUGCAAUUUACAUCAACAUUUUUAUCACCCCACCACCCAUCGGCACAUCCCACCACCGACAACCUUCAAGGAGUACAGCAACAACAACACGCUUUUCCUAUUUGCAUACAUAUCCUCCUGCGUCUUUUUGCGCACUUAAUUACACACGCAUACGCUUCAUUCCACUUUGCGGUGCUGCUUGUCUAGGCAUACGAGCCACCCAACCAGCCAAACCACCCACCCAACCAGGCACCCACUGGAGGACAGGAAGGACUCCGCAACCAUUUGCGAACCACCGCGGUGGGACAGGCCCACUACGGAAAUAGACACGGGGCACACUCCGGAAAAAUCGUACAAAAUGGAGGUCAUCACUGUAAUCCCAAUCGAUAAUGCAAAUUAACAAGGAGUCGUAAAAAUUAUGAACUUGAAUAUGGGCAAAAUUAAUUGCAAAAUUAUACAAACUAAUUCCCAUCGUAGAUAUUACGAUAUU
ensembl:ncRNA lncRNA:CR44432 long non-coding RNA:CR44432